rnacentral:misc_RNA from 1 species
AACGCACCUUGCACCCUUUGGUAUUCCGAAGGGUACGCCCGUUUGAGUGUCAUUGUAAUCUCACUUUCACAACUUUGUUGUGGAAUGUGGACUUGGGCAUUGUCGUGUAAAAAUGACUGGCCUGAAAUGGAUGAGUGUACCCUGCUGCUGCAGCGUCUUCAGUGUGAUAAGCAUCUUCACUGAUAAAAGUUCCUUUGGGACACGAAUGCAAAGUGGGCUCUGUGCUUCCAACUGUCUGUUGACAGACAAUCCUUGACAAUUUGGCCUCAAAUCGGGUGGGACUACCCGCUGAACUUAA